ensembl:lncRNA
CCUCUUUAUUCCCCCGCUCUGUCUUGACACCGUUUCUUCUCCAGACACAGCUUAGGAAUAACCCAUCGCUUUGGUCCAAGAAAACAUAUGCACUGUGCAACUUCCCAAACGAACCAGAAAGCUCCUUUGUUGUACGGUGUUAGCCUGAAACCAUGUCGCCAAAUGCGCAAGAUCUAUAGCCAUUUGAUAUAAUGCGGUCUCAAGAAGAGCAGAAUUUAGUAGUCCGUGCGUCACAGCAAGACAUUGUAGAAGCUACAGAAGUCCAGAUCCUUAUUACUGAAAAGCAAAAUGUUUCCAAAACUCUUUUGCUUAGUGAGAGAGUAGAUCACUUUGAAAUAAAAUCCUGAACGCGAGCUAUUGCAGACUAAUAACACUUUUCUACAUAUAGUUUUCUAAUAGUCCAUAAUAUCUGCGGGAUGCUUAGAAAUCCGUAGGUCCCCUCUUCUCGAGUUCUAAAAGGAGAGUGAGCGUCAGUGCGUGGUUUUGCGCAGAGCUCUUGCCACCAGCAGCCAAUGGACGCCCCGGACUGCCAGCGCUGCGUCACCUGAUUCGACCUAGACAACGUCAAUCAGAUGCUCCCUCCCUCGUCGUGCGCCCUUACCUUGCCACUCCAGCUCUCUUUAAACAGAAAAUGUGAACUGAUUUACAUGUCUUAAAAACUCAAACAGUCGUAUUUAAGCUAAAUAUCCAAGGCACGGGAGAGCAUAAUUCAAGGAGCACAGAAAUCCGUUUUUUUUUUCUGUCAAUUUAGUCUUGACCAAUUAAUUCGUCAUUUAGCAUUUAUCAUAAGAAAUCACGGAAAUAGAACUCUUUAGUAUGCAGUUCACGCGCAUACCGAGAGCGCGUGUAUGUGGAGGAAUCUGUAAAAAUGCAAGUAAUUUCAAGAUGGAGUGAGUUGUGUUCCAUUCAUCAGUCAGCACGUCACAGCAGGAGGAUGAUGGGUGUUGGACUAUACCACUCUUUCUCUUCCUGCUUGACCUUAUGCACUAAACACAUCUAUUGCUUAAAAUCAGCGCUUAACAAUAUCAGGGCUAAGGAUAUUGUGCCAUUUUGAGAAAUGAAAUGACGGUUGCCAAGAUAUGACAUGAUGAGCAUCUGCUGAUUCCACCAGCAUCCAACCAACAAUUGUUCUCUUUUCAUAUCUGUCUCACAUUCUCUUUCUCAGCAACAUCAUUCUGUAAAACCAUGUCUGGAAUGAGAUGGGCCUUGGUAUGUUUGAUUUUGUGCAGUGACUGUCAAACCCUUUAAAAGAUUUAAACCUCACUCAUCCCUCCCAAAUCCCACCUCACACUACUCAGCGUGGAAUAACGGUGUUGUUCAAAUAUGAUGUGAGAACAAUGAGAUUGAAGUCAAAGUUUACUGACACUAAGCCGGACCAAUUCUCUGUUAAAUGGGCUAUUACACUCACAACAGCCAGCGAAUGUUUGACCGGGUAAGACUUCAUUACAGAUUUCAUUCUGGCUCAAGGUGUAGGAUCUGUAUAGCUGUCAUUGACUGCAUGAAUGUGUGGGUUAAUUGGCUUUUGGAGUGGGUUCUCUCUCUGUGAUGAAUAAGUAAGAAGAUGAAUAGCGAAUCCUCUAUUGUAUGCAUGCUUGUGUAGGAUUGAUAGAUAAGGUGAGGGUGUUGGUGUUCUUCAUUCUCAAUAAGACUGUUGCACCGUUGAGAUUUGUGCAGAGCGACCCUGAACAUCCAACAAUUCAUUUAAUUAGUGUGUAUCAGUAAUGGAUGUAACUUAUGUUUAGCACUUACUUCAAGGUCAUCUGCCAUAUCUCAUACAGUGGUGUAAUGUAAUAAUACUUCUUUACUUACCACAAAGUUGGAAGAAAGCAGGUUUGAAGAAUCAGUGGUCUGGCGCUUGGAGAAAAAAAAGACUUGAGUAAACAAGCAGUUCAAGAGAGAACCUUUAAUUAUUUUCCACGGCCCCAGGCUAAUGAUUUAGACUUUAUGAGAUGGCAAUAUAAAUAAUAGGGUUGUCUGUGGAGUUUAGAAUUUGUUGUGGGUGUAUAGGAUGGCCUGGAUAAGUGAGAGAUUCCUGGCCUGAAUUUGCAUCCCAGUCCAGCCCUGGUUUAAAACAAAACAUUAUUUAUGCAUGUGCAACUGCUGGUUAAAUACAUCCAUGUCCCCUCUGAGCUGCAUUAAGCAAUCUAUGUAAAUGAAUCUAAAUGCCAUUCAGAUGCAGAUUACAUAUUUGCAAAAACUGUUUUCAAAAGUCAGAAUAGUAGAUGAAGUUAUAUGCUAAGAGUUAAAAUUGAACGGAAUCUUGCUGCUCAAACUGGGUAAAGAAGGGUUUUUAAUAUUUAUUUUCCGAUUUUCUAUUCUGGAUUUACUUGUACUUUAACUUUCAAUACUUAAUGAAGUUUAAGUUUUUUUUUAGAAAAAACUACUUUUCCUAUUUAAUAUAUAUAUAAAUUGUUUCCAGCUUUGAUAAUGACUCAUCAUAUUAGAAUGAUUUCUAAAGGAUAAUGUGAUAAUGAUCCUAAAAAUUCAGCUUUGCAUCACAGAA